rnacentral:rRNA from 1 species
AUUGAACGCUGGCGGCAGGCCUAACACAUGCAAGUCGAGCGGAUGAAGGGAGCUUGCUCCUGGAUUCAGCGGCGGACGGGUGAGUAAUGCCUAGGAAUCUGCCUGGUAGUGGGGGAUAACGUCCGGAAACGGGCGCUAAUACCGCAUACGUCCUGAGGGAGAAAGUGGGGGAUCUUCGGACCUCACGCUAUCAGAUGAGCCUAGGUCGGAUUAGCUAGUUGGUGGGGUAAAGGCCUACCAAGGCGACGAUCCGUAACUGGUCUGAGAGGAUGAUCAGUCACACUGGAACUGAGACACGGUCCAGACUCCUACGGGAGGCAGCAGUGGGGAAUCUUGGACAAUGGGCGAAAGCCUGAUCCAGCCAUGCCGCGUGUGUGAAGAAGGUCUUCGGAUCGUAAAGCACUUUAAGUUGGGAGGAAGGGCAGUAAGUUAAUCCCUUGCUGUUUUGACGUUACCAACAGAAUAAGCACCGGCUAACUUCGUG